AUGAAGCUAAUCACAUGGUAAUGCCAAUGAUCGGGGAAUGGCCCGACAAGUAGUGGCCUUUUGGACGUCUAGAAGGAGGAGGACUCCGAAGUGUUGUUUUUAUCAGAGACGAAGAUGGUGCGUGGCAAGAUCAAGUGGUUAAGAUGGAAGCUAGGCAUGUCACAGAUGAUGGUAAAGGACUGGUGUGGGAACAAUGGUGGAUUGGCAAUGUUCUAG
rnacentral:rRNA from 1 species